UACAGAGGUGGCAAGCGUUGUUCGGAAUUACUGGGCGUAAAGGGUGCGCAGGCCGCGCGGGCAGUCAAAUGUGUAAUUCAGGGGCUCAACCCCUGCACUGCGCUUGAUACUUCCGCGCUAGAACUUUGGAGAGGAGUCUGGAAUUCUCGGUGUAGCAGUGAAAUGCGUGGAUAUCGAGAAGAACACUAACGGCGUAAGCAAGACUCUGGACAAAUGUUGACGCUCAAGCACGAAGGCUAGGGUAGCGAACGGG
rnacentral:rRNA from 1 species